rnacentral:rRNA from 1 species
AUGAACGCUGGCGGCGUGCCUCAUACAUGCAAGUCGAGCGAACAGACGAGGAGCUUGCUCCUUUGACGUUAGCGGCGGACGGGUGAGUAACACGUGGAUAACCUACCUAUAAGACUGGGAUAACUUCGGGAAACCGGAGCUAAUACCGGAUAACAUGUUGAACCGCAUGGUUCAACAGUGAAAGACGGUCUUGCUGUCACUUAUAGAUGGAUCCGCGCCGCAUUAGCUAGUUGGUAAGGUAACGGCUUACCAAGGCAACGAUGCGUAGCCGACCUGAGAGGGUGAUCGGCCACACUGGAACUGAGACACGGUCCAGACUCCUACGGGAGGCAGCAGUAGGGAAUCUUCCGCAAUGGGCGAAAGCCUGACGGAGCAACGCCGCGUGAGUGAAGAAGGCCUUCGGAUCGUAAAACUCUGUUAUUAGGGAAGAACAAAUGUGUAAGUAACUAUGCACGUCUUGACGGUACCUAAUCAGAAAGCCACGGCUAACUACGUG